rnacentral:rRNA from 1 species
UAGGGAAUCUUCGGCAAUGGGGGGAACCCUGACCGAGCAACGCCGCGUGAGUGAAGAAGGUUUUCGGAUCGUAAAGCUCUGUUGUUAAGGAAGAACGAGUGUGAGAAUGGAAAGUUCAUACUGUGACGGUACUUAACCAGAAAGGGACGGCUAACUACGUGCCAGCAGCCGCGGUAAUACGUAGGUCCCGAGCGUUGUCCGGUUUUAUUGGGCGUAAAGCGAGCGCAGGCGGUUAGAUAAGUCUGAAGUUAAAGGCAGUGGCUCAACCAUUGUAGGCUUUGGAAACUGUUUAACUUGAGUGCAGAAGGGGAGAGUGGAAUUCCAUGUGUAACGGUGAAAUGCGUAGAUAUAUGGAGGAACACCGGUGGCGAAAGCGGCUCUCUGGUCUGUAACUGACGCUGAGGCUCGAAAGCGUGGGGAGCGAACAGG